UGAAGUUUUUUUUUUUAUGUUGUACCAUCUUCUUCAGUUUUUAUACCUGAUUCUGGAAAUUUUUAUGCAAUGAAAUAAAGAAAUUAGCAUAUGCAGUUUCACUCCCUCUUCUUCCCUGUGAAAAAAUCUCUAUGAAUUUUAAUGAUAUUAAUCCUUAAUUUGUUUUGAUUUAUUUGUGGUCAGGAUGAGAAGUGCCUAUUUAUAUCUAAUGGGUUAGUAUUUUCUCCAUUGCUAUCGAUUAGAUGGUGGUGAUUCAAUCAAUCUGUCACUUCUCUAUGAUUAUUCUUUCUUUCAAAAUACACCUACCUAGGUUCGACCUUCCAAAGUGAUGGUUAUCUAUUAAUGUUUUAAUUUUUGGGACAGUGACAAUGCCACAAAGUUUAUGUCCUUGGUUGAUCGUCACAUAACUAUCUUCUUUCCCAAAAGUUGGUAAGCGUAUUGGGGCAGGUUUAUUUAUUUCGUAAUGUUUGAUUUCAUAGUUAAUACUCUUUUAAACUGGAGAAAUGUCUGCAUUUGAUAAUGUUGUUGGUGGAAAGCUGAAACUUAAUGGGAAGGCUCUGGAUGUAAAAGCUGGUGGAGUGAAGAAAAAAAAGAAGCAAAAGAAGCACCACGAGCAAAUUUGUGGAAUGUUAAUGGGUAAGGUUGGGGCACAUUAUUUAUUUUAUUUAUCUUUGUCCUUUUAUGUUCUAAAUUUAUUUAACUACUACUCUUUGUACAAGUUGAGUAAUGGUAACUCAUGUAGACAGUGUACCCCAAUCAUUGGUUUGUCUAGUUGUGUCUGUUGAAGUUAUUGGUGUGCCUAUUUCAUGAGUUAUAACAACUAAAUUGUGAGGACAAUGUUUGGGGAAGGACAGUGGAGAAAAAAUGCUUAUUACAUGUGUAAGUUUUUAUGAAGUAGUUUCAACCUGUUAAGUGAUAGUCUGUUCCUAGAAAAUAUAUCAAUUUUUUCUCUUUGUUUUAGUUGUCAAUGUUAUUUAUGGCGUAUGAAUGAGUGUGAUGAGGGAAAAGAAUAUAUUAUUUGCAUGCAUCUUAUAUUCUAGAUUGAUUUAUAGACUUGGGAUCAUUAACAUCAGAUUUAGAACAUCUGGUUGGGCCAUUAAACUAGGUGCUGCCAAUGAACUUAUGCUAUAUACCCAAAUCUUGAAAUUCUUGGCCUAUACUUGACAUUCCUUCUACUUAUUAAGAUAAAGAUUAUGUGGGUUUGGAAUGCAUCCAGUAAUAUCUGUGCCUGCUAGAAAAAAAAAACAAUAAAUUCAGUGUCAGUCAUCUUGAAUUUAAGGUGCUGCACAUUUACUGAGAUUGCAGAUAAAUAUCUUGGUUUAGUUCUUCGUAGAAUCUGUCAAAGACACUGGAAUCGGAAUAUGCUUGGAAAAUCUCAUCCUCAAAUAAAUUUCCCUGGGGAAACUGUAUGUUCAUUUAGCUAGAGCAAGUUUGAUUUGCUGAUAGAUUCUCGGGUUGUUGAAGUUGUAGACUUUGUUGAUUAAUAUGAUCACAUACUUAGGGGCAUCAACUUCUUAUUUGUGUCUUUAAAAUAGCUUUGUCCAUUUCUGCUGAUGGUGUAUCCAAUCAUCAUUUCAAUAUGUUGGUCUCCCAAAAAUAGUGAUAAAUGGUUGCUGAUUAGUAGUCUAUAAUUCUAAUGUUAAUGCUGUAGCAUGGGAAAAUAUAUGGCUCAGAUGAUGAGAAAUGUUUGAAGUACAUUUCGCAUCUGAUUCAUUAUGCAUCAGCCCUUGAGCAUAAUAAACAUGAAUUUCCAACUUUUCCUUGUAUGUUUUAGCAUAUCGUGCAGCUGGAUGCUUUUGAACGUGGAAAACUUCAUUUCAAGACUCGAUUCUCGUCAAACAAAAAACUUGGUGAAAGUCCUAAAAAUUUAGCAUGUAAGGCGAUUUUACAUUUUCUAUGUUAAUGUCGAUGAAGUUCAAUUAUUUUCCUUAGAAAUGAUUAAAUUUGAUAUAGUUU
rnacentral:lncRNA from 1 species